UACGGAGGGGGCUAGCGUUGUUCGGAAUUACUGGGCGUAAAGCGCACGUAGGCGGCUUUGUAAGUUAGAGGGGAAAGCCCGGGGCUCAACUCCGGAAUUGCCUUUAAGACUGCAUCGCUAGAAUUGUGGAGAGGUAAGUGGAAUUCCGAGUGUAGAGGUGAAAUUCGUAGAUAUUCGGAAGAACACCAGUGGCGAAGGCGACUUACUGGACACAUAUUGACGCUGAGGUGCGAAAGCGUGGGGAGCAAACAGG
rnacentral:rRNA from 1 species